rnacentral:tmRNA from 1 species
GGGGAUGAUCGGUUUCGACAGCGGCUGUCGAAGCAGGGGAAGCGAGCCGAGGAAGCACGGCGAUGAUCUCGUUAACCACGCGCCGUGAAAAAAAUAAUCGCCAACCAGAAGCGCGAUUCCUUCUCGCUCGCUGCCUGACGCAGCGAGCGUGAAGUGUCAGUCCGGGAGCGUUCCCGUCCCGGGUCCUGGCAUCAGCUGGGGAACUCCACCUUCGGCCCCGGUCACGGGGGUCGAUAGGGACAUCAAACAGUGACUGAGCCCGUCGGAGACUUGUCCGCGUGAUCUCCGGGGCCGAGAAAAUCGAAGCGGACUGCGCUCGGAGAAGCCCUUCUUCCGCACCGUUGGACGCGGGUUCGAUUCCCGCCAUCUCCACUC